GAUGAACGCUGGCGGCGUGCUUAAUACAUGCAAUUCGAGCGAACAGACGAGUAGCUUGCUCCUCUGACGUUAGCGGCGGACGGGUGAGUAACACGUUGAUAACCUCUCUAUAAGACUGGGAUAACUUCGGGAAACCGGAGCCAAUACCGGAUAAUAUAUUGAACCGCAUGGUUUAAUAGUCAAAGACGGUUUUGCUUCUACUUAUAGAUGGCUCCGCGCCGCAUUAGCAAGAUGGUAAGGUGACGGCUUACCAAGGCCACGCUGCGUCGCCGCCCUAAGAGGGUGGUCGGCCACUGUAGAACUGAGACCCGGUCGAGGGGCACACAGGAGGCAGCAGAAGGCAAUCUUCCGCGAUGGGCGAAAGCCUGCCGGAGCACAGCCGCGUGGGGGAUGGAGGUCUUCGGAUCGUAAAACUCUGUUAUUGGGGAAGAACAAAUGUGUAAGUAAAUAGGCACGCCGUGACGGUACCUACGAAGAGAGCAACGGCUAGGUACGCG
rnacentral:rRNA from 1 species